GAUGUCUUAAAUAUUUUGAUUUCAGCGGUGUGAUUGGUUAUAUGCUCUGCUCUACUGAAGGGCCAGAAGUUAACUUCAAGAAUCCAGUAAAUCCAAUUGACAAAGAGACAACUCAAGUCAAGUCCAAAUUAGGACCUCUCAAGUUCUACAACUCUGAUAUUCACAAAGCAGCAUUCAUUUUGCCAUCUUUCGCCCGAAGUAUGAUCGAGUCUUAAUCAAGUGAAUAAUGAACACUGGUCGUACAAUCAUUGGACCAAGAUCAAGUCUUAAUCAAGUGAAUAAAUAAGUGAAAUGCAACGUAUUGUAUGAGAAUUCUGCAGUAAUUAUCAUAAUUUCCAAUUCACUAAUUGUUGUAAAAUUCUUUCUCUGUGGUGUUUGGUACUUUAAUAUAAAUUUUCCUGCUGAAGUUUUAAAAUGGACGUUCCAAUUCGAUCCUCGCAAAUCAGUUCAUUAUCCUUCUUUCAGUGUACUAAAGCCAACAAAUCUCAUAGUUACCGUGGUGUUGUUUUUACUAUGGGAUUUGCGAUCUUAUUAAGGUUUUGGUCUAUGUUUUGGAAUUGUAAUAUUCAUAUUUUUAAGUUACUCUGUAUCUAAAUCGGCCUAGUCUCUCUUUUUUAAUAAAUGGCGUCAUCGUCGUUGCA